rnacentral:lncRNA from 1 species
GCAGCGAGCUCAGAUUUUAGAGCUUUCUUCAAACGAAUGGGGACUACACAAAUGUUUGGAAGUCUUACAGGAUUUCCGAAGACUUCAUUUACUAAAGGCAAUGCACUCAGAGGAUAUACAGGAAAUUGUGCGAGAAAAAAAUCUGGCAGAAAACGCAGGUGGUGGGUUUUCAUUUUCUUCCCGGGUGUAGCGCAGGCGGCCCAGGAAAAGGAAAACUGCUUUUUUAUGGUCAGGGUUUCUGGAGAUUGGCGCUGGCGGCGGAAAGGGGAGCGGCGGGAGGACAGACUGGAGCAGGAUAGUUUCCAAAGAGACCAAAUAAUAUUUCAGAUCGACCCACAGAAGAGUCCUUGCUCUCAAGUAGAAAAUCGGACCUAUAGGAGCCCUGCAUUUCCAAGAAUUACCUGUAUUUAAAAAAAAAAAAAAUUUGUCUUUUGAGAAAAAUCUGUGUCUGAGGUGUAACCGUUUCCUCCUUUGAAAAAUUCUUCUGAAUGUUCCAGAAUGUGCACCAGGAACAUGUAUGAGGUUUGGGUAAAUUUUCCAUCAUUGGAAACUACACACUCAUUUUCAAUUUCCAUGUUCACAAUAAUGUGCUGUGCAAUAUUGGGGUAAGUAAUUUGUCCAUACGCGUGAAAAAAAUCGCUGGAUGAACCACAGCCCAAGGUAAGUUUAACUCUCCCAGAGAAGAAUGGUAGAUAUCUGAGACCUCCUAAGUCCAAGUCAUGACAAUCAAUGACAAUCUUUGAGAUGCAGGUCUCACAGCAACCGGCUGAAGAUUUAGUCUGAGUAAAUAAUUAUGAAUCGGCUCUCAGAAUUCUCCAGGCUCACUGAAUUCUGCAACCUCUGGAGAGCAUUUUAAAUGCUAGCAGAACAUUUUAAAUACCACUGAUACCCCAUGCAUCAUAAGCAUCCACUGCAAGAGAAUUACCAGGAAAUUUCAGUGCCACGUGGCAAAUACUCAGGCAAUUACAAGCAGAAAUAGUUUCAGAAAUUGUUUCUUCAUGUGAAGGACGGUGGAAGACCAUGCCAUUGGAUGACAAUCACAUAGAAUUGGUCAUGUUGACACUUAUCUGCCUCAUCCUGGAGCACUUCUGGGAAGACUUCAUCUGUUUAAGAACCAUAAUCUCAGCACCCUGAGAUAAAACAACAACAACAACAAAAACAAAACAAAACAAGAAAAAGCUUUGAUCCUUCCUACCAGAGUUUUCUUUUCAUUGGAUAUUUAAAAUAUUCCAUAAUCUGACAACCUAAUAAUGCAAACCAGAAAAGAGAGCUACACGCAACAUCACUGUAUUUCCAAUGAAAUUAGGUUCCAGGAAGCUCAAAACAAGACAGUAGGUAGAGACAGCUAUCAUCCUUGGCGUUCUUCCUUUUGGAUUCUGGAUAAAAGGUAGAGGAAUAACAGCACCGUUCUGAAUGUUUUGGUUAUUUUAUGGCUCUAAUUUCCAUCGUGUUUUUUUUCUGAAGCAUAGCUAAUUGUUCAUUAACAGUUAACAGAUAUUGAUGGCUUAGCUAUUUUUAUCUUUUUAUCUAUUUCACAAAGGUCUAUUUAGAAUCUAGUAGUGUAUUUCCUCUUUAUUGUUAAGCACAGAAAAGGAACGCAUUUUUUUCUGCUCAUGCCUAGUUUCCUUUGAUCUUUCUCAAAGGUAAAUUACCCCUAAAACUUUGAGUAGACUGUCCUAGCAGAUAUUCUGAAGCUUGACAAGGAAAUUCAUCCCACUUCAAUCCAUAAAAUGAUAGUCUUCGUAUUAAUAUAUGGUUUUAACUUUUUAUUUGAAAUAGUCAUUUGAUGAUUUUGGUGAUAUUGAUGACCACGAAAUCAAAUGGAGAUAUACAACUACAAGAAAAAAAACUGUAGAAAUAAAUGUCUUUUUCGUUAUUUAAGACGUAAAUCAACUGAGUUGCUGUGUAGCUUAUUUAUGUCAAUGUUAAAUUUGUGUUUGUUAAUUUUUACUGUUUCCUUAUUAAACAUCAAAAAUGAUUAAUUCUUUGGCAAUUAAUAUCAUAGCAUAUCCAGUACAUUAAAUGUCAUGUAAAACAGACCGACAAAACAAUCUUAUCUUUUUUUUCUUUAUGUCAGUGUUUAAUACUCUCCUGUAUGGCUUAGGAAAAUUAAAGAAGAUACAACAGAAUAUGCCUCAAAUAAGACCUAUUUGUUGAUAUUUAAUAUAUUUAUGAUAGUUGCUGAUAAAAUGAAAACAGACAUUAUUCAAUACACUGGAUAAUAAUUACAUAAAUACAAAGUGUUUGGUGUUUUCAUUUGCCUUUCUCAAAUACUUUUUUUCUUUCUAGAGAGUUUAAUGCACUGACGGGGGGUGGGGGGCGGUCCUAUAAUGGCACUGCAGGCUCAAAUGGUGGUUAAAGCAGAUUGCAAAUACAGUGCUGUAUGUUUCAUAUUAUAUUACCCUGUCUGUGAAAGUUGUAUUGGAUGUCUAAGAUUCUGGUGGCAUAAGUAAUAGAAACAUUAGGGUGAUCAGAGUUUGUGUAGGACCAUAUUUGCUGGAAGGUGUUAGAAGAAGGAAUAAUGUAAUACUUAAAGCCCAGU